rnacentral:rRNA from 1 species
AGGACGAACGCUGGCGGCGCGCCUAACACAUGCAAGUCGAGGGAGAACCAGACCUUCGGGUCUGGGGAGACCGGCGAACGGGUGAGUAACACGUGAGGAAUCUGCCCUGUAGACCGGAAUAACCACGGGAAACUGUGGCUAAUGCCGGAUAUUCUCAUCAAUCCGCAUGGAUCGUUGAGGAAAUGGUCAGCCGCUACAGGAUGACCUCGCGGCCUAUCAGCUUGUUGGUGGGGUAACGGCCCACCAAGGCUACGACGGGUAGCUGGCGUGAGAGCGCGAACAGCCACACUGGGACUGAGACACGGCCCAGACUCCUACGGGAGGCAGCAGUGGGGAAUCUUGCUCAAUGGGCGAAGCCUGAAGCAGCGACGCCCGCGUGCGGGAAGAGGCCUUCGGUGUAACCGCGUUCGAGGGAAGAGACGAAGUCGACGGUACCCCAGGAACGAACGGACCGGCCGAACGUACGUGCCGAGCCGACGGCCGAC